ACAAAGUGGUCAGUUAGGGGCUGGGCUGCUUCUUAAUCCCAUACACCAAUCCACUUCUUCCAAAAAGACAACUGCAUGGCAAAGGUGUGAACAGACAUAAAGACCCCCCUACGGCUCCCGAGAGUUGGAAUCUGAGGUGAUGUUGGACAGCUGUGAGAAGAUUGACACACACACAUCCUAUAGACCGGCCGCAAAGAGUUUGUCUCUACUGGCAGUGCUUUCUAACAUUAACACACACACACACACUUAGGCCAAGCAGUUAAGUAUUGUUGUGGAAGCCUGUGGCAACCAAUAAACAACCCCCCAGUCUGGCAAGAGAUACCAUCUUAGCAAAUUAGCACUAAGAAAAGCCCAUAUUUCCAGUUAUU